rnacentral:lncRNA from 1 species
AUGGGGUUAUAUUCGCUGCUAUCUAAAAAUGGAGAGAUUUCUCAAACAACCAAAUCUAAUAACACAUAUUGUGUUUCCUCCUCCGUAAAACGGAAGUGGGUGCGGCUGGACCACCAAAUCACUACGGAUCAUUUUGAGUCUGGGGGAGACUUGGGGUGCCUUGCAGGAAGAGGGGCCAGCCCAGCUCAUCAAACACUGAAGAAGCCCUGGAUAUCACUGCUGCUGCCGCCAGUUCCCAGAAUGUCCUCCACACACAGACAGAUAAGAGCUGAGGUCAUGAAACUAAUUUGCAUCUCAAAAAGAUCUACAUUUUCCUUUUAGGUGCUAGACACCGUGCUUUGGACUUUGCCUAUAGUCCUCAUUUCCAUCUUGCCCAGAGCCUGAUGCAGUAAGAUCUAUGAUUCUCUCUGUGUGACAGGUGAUCUGUUGGAGAUCCUACCCGAGUGACAAGCAGACUUGGAACUUGACCUCACAUUCAUUUGACUCCAAAACCCUUGUUUUUACUGAGUAUAUUUUCCUUGAAUGUUUUUCUGAUUAACUGAUUUUCCCUGAAGACAAUGGACCAGGUGGUUGACGGCCUGGACUCACCAUGCAGAAGAGCAAAGAAUCAGAUUUCAUUUUGGGGGAAAUGGUAAGAAUGUGUUUCCAAGAAAAGAUGCAUUCUGGGCUUGGGUACAGAAGAGGGAAAUUUGCUCCUGUGUGUUCUUAUCGGCCAUCGUUAAGACUUGCACCCUCUGCUCACUUCCCAGAACCCUGAAAUGACCACGUUUAUCAUCCAGGAAGGCUUGCUGAUGACCCUGGAGAAAUUGCUUAAACUCACAAAAACUGAUUUUUCAAAUGCAUAAAAUGACCAAUAGGAAUAGAGUUUUUCAAAGCUCAUUCCCAUCUCCACAUGGAUGCAUCAAGAAUUCUACUCAGGAGUUUGCCUUCACCAUUGAACCAGUUCUCUCAUAAUGAAGAUAAUCCAUUAUGGACAAUGUGGGUUUUUUUAAGGCUCAUAUGUACCAUGAUAUCUGUCUU